rnacentral:tRNA from 1 species
GGGUAGGUGCCCGAGUGGUUAAAGGGAACGGACUGUAAAUCCGUCGCCAUAGGCUACGAUGGUUCGAAUCCAUCCCUGCCCACCA